GGGGCUGUAGCUCAGUUGGCUAGAGCACCUGCUUUGCAAGCAGGAAGUCAGGGGUUCGAUUCCCCUCAGCUCCA
rnacentral:tRNA from 1 species